GACGAACGCUGGCGGCGUGCCUAAUACAUGCAAGUCGAGCGAAGUUUUUCUGGUGCUUGCACUAGAAAAACUUAGCGGCGAACGGGUGAGUAACACGUAAAGAACCUGCCUCAUAGACUGGGACAACUAUUGGAAACGAUAGCUAAUACCGGAUAACAGUAUUUCUCGCAUGAGAGAUAUUUAAAAGUUGGUUAUGCUAACACUAUGAGAUGGCUUUGCGGUGCAUUAGCUAGUUGGUGGGGUAAAGGCCCACCAAGGCGACGAUGCAUAGCCGACCUGAGAGGGUGAUCGGCCACACUGGAACUGAGACACGGCCCAGACUCCUACGGGAGGCAGCAGUAGGGAAUCUUCCGCAAAGGGCGAAAGCCUGACGGAGCAACGCCGCGUGAGUGAAGAAGGAUUUCGGUUCGUAAAGCUCUGUUGUUAGGGAAGAAUGGAUAUGUAGUAACUAUACAUGUAAGAGACGGUACCUAACCAGAAAGCCACGGCUAACUACGUG
rnacentral:rRNA from 1 species